AUUGAACGCUGGCGGCAGGCCUAACACAUGCAAGUCGAGCGGGGACUUCGGUCCUAGCGGCGAACGGGUGAGUAAUGCUUGGGAAUCUGCCCAGUAGUGGGGGAUAACGUCCCGAAAGGGACGCUAAUACCGCAUACGUCCUACGGGAGAACGAGGGGGAUCUUCGGACCUCUCGCUCUUGGAUGAGCCCAAGUCGGAUUAGCUAGUUGGUAGGGUAAUGGCCUACCAAGGCGACGAUCCGUAGCUGGUCUGAGAGGAUGAUCAGCCACACUGGAACUGAGACACGGUCCAGACGCCUACGGGAGGCAGCAGUGGGGAAUAUUGGACAAUGGGCGAAAGCCUGAUCCAGCCAUGCCGCGUGUGUGAAGAAGGCCUUCGGGUUGUAAAGCACUUUAAGCGGGGAGGAAGGUUCGCGGCCUAAUACGUCGCGGAAUUGACGUUACCCGCAGAAUAAGCACCGGCUAACUCUGUG
rnacentral:rRNA from 1 species